GACGAACGCUGGCGGCGUGCUUAACACAUGCAAGUCGAGCGGAGCGGCGAACGGGUGAGUAACGCGUGAGUAACUGCCCCCCUCUAUGGGAUAACAGAUGGAAACGGCUGCUAAUACCGGAUAGUGGGGGAUGACUCGCGUCCUAUCAGCUUGUUGGUGGGGUAGUGGCCUAACAAGGCGAAGACGGGUAGCCGGGCUGAGAGGGCGACCGGCCACAUUGGGCUAAGCUACGGCCCCAACUCCUACGGGGGGCAGCGGUGGGUAAUAUUGCACAAUGGGGGAAACCCUGAUGCAGCCACGCCGCGUUCGGGAUGACGGCCUUCGGGUUGUAAACCGCUUUCAGCCAUUACGCGGUAGUGGCAGAAGAAGCACCGGCUAACUCCGUGCCAGCCGCCGCGGUAAUAC
rnacentral:rRNA from 1 species